GAUGAACGCUGGCGGCGUGCCUAAUACAUGCAAGUCGAGCGAACAGACGAGGGCCUUCCUCCUCUGACGAUUGCCGCGCACGUGUGUGUCACGCGUGGAUAACCUCCCUAUAAGACUGGGAUAACUUCGAGAAACCGGCUCUAAUAGCAUGACAUCUGUUGAACCACAUGAUUCGAUAGUGAGAGACGGUUUUUCUACUACUUAUAGAUGCAUCGUCUCCUCAUUAGGUAGUUGGGAAGGUAACGGCUUACGACGGCAACGAUGAGUAGCCGACCUGAGAGGGUGAUCGGCAACACUGGACCUGAGACCCGGUCCAGACUCCUACGGGAGCCAGCGGUAGGAAAUCUUCCGAAAUGGGCGAAAGCUUACCGGGGCACCGCCGCGUGAGGGAGGAAGGUCUUCGGUUCUAAAGACUCGUUUAUUAGGGAAGAACAAUUGUGUAAUUAACUAUGCACGCUUUGACGGUACCUUAUCAGAAAGCCACGGCUAACUACGUG
rnacentral:rRNA from 1 species